AUGCUUUUGUAUGUCACAACACAGUGCUGUGUGUUGGUAUGUUGCUUACCAUUAAGUGUGCUCUUAUAUUUUUUAAACAUUCUCACUUUUCUAAAUUUUUCUUUAGAUAAUAAACUCCUGCAAAGCAGAUUGUUUGGUUCUUCUUCCUCCAUGGUGCCUGGCCCAUCAUUCUGCAGAUAUAAGAUAAGGGAGAGAGAGAAGAGUCAAUAGUGAAGAGGAAGUUUAUCACAUUCGUGAGAAACAUCCUUCCUGAGCUUGCAGCAAAGUGAUCACUGGCCUGUGGAGAAGAAUGUAAAGUUGUUUCACCAGAUGGAACAAAGUUACAGGUUUUAGACAUGAUUUUUAAUGCCAGUGAGGUAUAUCUCUCUUCUAUAAAAUGUACUUGUCUCUAUGAUGGGUUAUUUUUUUAGAUUCUUCCAUCCUUUGGAAAAAGGCAAAAUAUAAAGGCAGUAUGGGCUGUUCACAGCAUAAACUCUGUAAAUUGGUCAUUAGCCAACUUUCCUCAUAGAGAUGGGCACCUUGUGUCAAAAACAGGAAAAUAAAUUAACUUGGACAUGCUUUGGAUGAUUUUCAGCAUGAAAACUGAUAUCCAUGGACUGGAAAUGAAUUUACUCUCUAAAUAUUUGCAGUCAUGAAAUAGUUUAGAUGAAAAUGCUCUCUGAUGAUUCAAAAGUAGAACACUGAGAAAUAAUAAAAUUAGAAUCAUUUUAGAGAAUUCAAGAAGAUGUAUUGUAUAAAGUACCAGUGGGUAGAAGUGGACACAACUCUGAUUGUGACUGCUUAAAUAUACUUCUAAGAGAGUUUUCUAUCUUUUGAAGAAAACUUUCAUGUUUAGGGAGAGGUUUAGGUUUUUGUUUUUUUUUUUUUUUUCAAUUUCUCACAUGAUAUGAUCUAUUUUUUUCCUCUUUCCUUAAAUAAGGAAGAAUAAACAUAAAGAAAAAGUUUGGGUCAGGUAUGGUGGCUCACGCCUGUAAUCCCAGCACUUUGGGAGGCAGAGAUGGGGGAUCACGAGGUCAGGAGAUCAAGACCAUCCUGGCUAACACGGUGAAACCCCAUCUCUACUAAAAAUACAAAAAAAAAAAAUUAGCGGGGCGUGGUGGUGGGUGCCUGUGGUCCCAGCUACUCAGGAGGCUGAGACAGGAGAAUGGCCUGAAACCGGGAGGUGGAGCUUGCAGUGAGCUGAGAUUGCACUACUGCACUCCAGCCUGGGGGACACAGUGAGACUCCUUCUCAAAAAAGAAAAAGUUUGAAAACUAUAAUAUUUACUAAUUUAUUAAUAGCAAAAAAGUCUUAAUACCUUUUUACCAUUCUAAGUUUUGAAUAAUUAAAAUGUAAAAAAGCUAUGAAAUUAAGUUGUAUAUAAUUGUAGAGGGAAAAAAGGUUUAUAUUUUGACACGUCUUGGUUGUGUCCGCACGCAAAUCUCAUCUUAAAUUCCCACGUGUUGUGGGAGGGACCUGGUGGGAGGUACUUGAAUCAUGGGGGCAAGUCUUUCCCAUGCUGUUCUCAUGACAGUGAGUAAAUCUCAGGAGAUCUGAUGGAUAUUAUAAAGUGGAGUCUUCCCACACAAGCUCUCUCUUAGCCUGCUGCCAUCCACAUAGAUGUGACUUUCCACCAUGAUUGUGAGGCCUCCCAGCCAUGUGGAGCUGUAAGUCCAAAUAAACGUCUUUCUUUUGUACAUUGCCCAGUCUAAGGUAUGCCUUUAUCAGCAGCAUGAAAAUGGACUAAUAUGUAUUUCUUCUUGGAUUAUAACUUGAAUUUAAAACUAAAAUGAAAGAAGAAAAAGGAAGAGGAGGAGGGGGAGAGGAAUAUCUUGAUAGAUUUUUCUAAAUUUUUUUUUGAAUUUUUGUUUUAUUAAUUUAGAGAACACAGAGAGCCGUCAUUUAUUUAGAAUUGUUCUACUGUGAUUCUUAUUUUGUCUAUACAGAAAUAGACUUUAUCUGCUAUUGUUAAUUUGAUUUAGCAGGUUUUCUUAUAUUUGGGCAUGAUAUUGAUACAGGUUAUAAUUCUCUAAGAGAAAAAAAAAACACUCAAAGGAGAUGAAAGUAACUCAAAUGCUUGUACCGUCACUAGAUAUUUUGAAACCCACUUUUUAUAUUUCUUAAUUAUUAGUAUUUAUUUAUGAGAAUACUUUUCUGUUUACUGAUUGCUAUGAAUCCUGACAGCUUCAUGAAUUACAAGCUCCCUUAGGCAUGACAUAAUAACUUUGGUUAGCAAAUUGCAGUAUUCCUACAGAGUUUUCUGGAUUUGCCUCAUAAAUGUGCUAUUCAACAAAUUCUUGAACUAAAGGAUUUUUCCUAAGAAAAGAACUUUUAACAUUUUAAGAGAGCUAUGACCAAAUUGUUCAUGGUCAUAAGUCCCUAAAGAGUCCUCAUUAAUAACUAGGUAAAUGGAACCUCAAUGCUACAGCUUAAAGAUCAGAAACUUUGAGCAGACACUUAGAAAGAACUUCAUUAUUUGUGAGUUUGCAGGGGGAAAUUAUAUACCUCUUCAUUUUAUUCUGUACCCUAGAGCCCUAAUCACUAGUGAGAAUAGUAUACUCCAUGGAUUUACCAAUAUUUAACAAUAUUUCUCAGAAUGAGUUUGCAAAUUUAGUGAGAAAUACCCAAGAGUGCUGCUUAAACAUACGUAUAGUUAUCUUAUGAAAUCACUUAGCAAAGACUUGUUAUGCUCUGAUUAGCUUAUUAGUUUAUUCUGGAUCUGAUAGAGAGUUUUGGGGCAUUGUCUGUCAACUUGCUAGGAAUUAGGACAGCAAAUGCUUUCAAAUUGUCUUUGCUCAUUUAACCAUGUCUCUGCAGAUGUUCACUAUUUUAACAUGUCUUUUCUUUGGAAACUGUACUCUAUGUACAGUAUAAUCAUUUAGAGAUGUACAAUUUUGAAUUAAGGUAGAAGUUUAAAAGUAGAUUAAAAUGCUUAGGCAUACUUCCUGCUCAAAUGGGUCCCAUCCUGCAUAUCAAUACAUGACUCAUUCUGAGUGACAAAAGAUCAUUUCAGGUUAGUUUGUUCAUGCUGUCAUAAUAAAAAAUUCCACAGUACAUAGUAUAUGAAGGCAGUCCAUAAUGAUAGUUUAGCUUGUACUUAGGUUAUUUACACAUGAAGAUAAAUGACUUUUUUGUAUACGAAUGGAAAUAUGAGAGAGUUGUUCCUUUAAGGAUUGAAUAAUGUAAAAUAAUUAUGGAGAAACAUUCGUGGUGUUUUCAAGAAUUGCAAUGUGAAACUUGACUCUUCUUAUUUUCUUUACCCAACUAUAUUCUACUCCUGCCACUUUCAUAUGAAUGAGUUAGUGAGGUGGCAAAACAGUGCAGUAAAAAAAUAUUAGAUUUUCAAGAGAGAUAUAGGGUUGUAGCACUGGAAAACUCCAAGCGGUGCCGUUUGUAUAAUAGGCUCUGUGAGUGGCAUUCCUGGAGUUGUGCAGUACACAACAUUGGCGACUAUAUGCAGUUGCCCUGAGCUAGACCAAUGUUAGAGACCUGAUUAAGUAGCAUUGGGCAAAGUUAGUAGCUUUCUCUGAGACUUCUGCUUGUCUCUAAAAUGAAGUUAAUUUUACCUAUCACAUAUGGGUCUUUUGUGAAUUAAAUGAGGUUUUACAAGGGUUUACUUCCAUAACAAUACUAGAAUAGUACCAAGUGCACAGUAGAUGCUUAAUAACUGUUAGCCUUGAAAGUAGGCAGAUGAGAUGAACUCUAGUAAGAGUUUAAAAAGAGAGAAAAAGAUCAUGUUAACUUAGAGGUCUAAAACUUAAAAUAAAGACUAUUGUUUUAAAUUAUCUAGAAAAGGCUUUUUCAUAAUUAGCAAUGCUACACACAUGUACUCAUGCACACACAUGUUCAAAUCUAGGCACACAUAUACUAGCACAUGUGCACACACAGACACACACCCUCCAAAUUUGGGAUACCUAAUUGGAAGAUGCUAAUUUUGCAUCAUAUAAAUUUUACACAUUUACAAGAAAAUAUAAAGUAGACAUCAUGAAUUGUUAUCUAGAAAAAUAUUACCACAAAAAGGUAGAAGUAAUUAUUAUAUUGAAUUACACAAUUUGAUAUAAUAAAAUAUAAGUGUAACGACAAUUACUACAGCUAUCAAUCUUCAAUAAUUUGUGAAGAAUCCAGCCUCAAAUGCAAUGAAGCUUUAUAAAAUUUGUGAUUACAGAGUGUAAAAUAUAACAGAUGCUACAAUAUUUAGAUGCCUGCUGGCAUUUACCUUUUCCUCUGCACAGUUCAUUUCAACUGUAUGAAAAUUUUAUGUGUUACAUAAAAGUAGAGAAAAAGAAAGUGAUUUGCAAAAUAACCACAUGAGAAUUGAUGGUGUGUUUUCAGCAAUGUGGUAUUUGAUUCUUUGGAUCAGAUGAACUAUGCAAGAAAGUAGAGAAUUUGAUAAUACAUAUUAUUUUCAGUUUCAUAUUAUUUUCAGUGAAAGAUGCAUAGGUCAAAAAAAAAAACCGCAAUGUUGAAUUUGGUUACUUUCUCUAUGCAUUCAGAGCUGAUUUUUUAAGCUGGGAGGCCUAUUAUUCACUGAAGAAAUGGUCUUGCUUUAAGGGUUGUAGUGGAAGGGUAAUGGCAUUGGUGCCAUUCAAGAUAUAGCCACUGUUAUCUUUCUUUUGAUUUUUAAAUUUUAGAUUUAAAAUUUUUUGAGAUGGAGUCUCACUCUGUCACCCAGGCUGGAGUGCAGUGGUUCAAUCUCGGCUCACUGCAAACUCAGCCUCCCGAGUAGCUGGGAUUACAGGUAUGUGCCACCACACCCAGCUAAUGUUUGUAUUUUAGUAGAGACAGGGUUUCAUCAUGUUGGCCAGGCUGGUCUGGAACUCCUGACCUCAAGUGAUCCACCCCCUCUCAGCCUCCCAAAGUGCUGGGAUUACAGAUGUGAGCCACCACACUGACUGCCAAUGUUAUAUUUUAAAAGCAAGAUACUUAGAGUGUAACACCUGCUUCUUGAAAAUAUAUUUUGCAGGUUAUCAAAUAUCAGUCUUCUCAUUUAAAAAUUAUGUUAUUAUCUUAUCUGUGAUUAUAUUGUAAACA
rnacentral:lncRNA from 1 species